UAGAAAAUAAUAUAAGGGAAGUAUAGAGGGCUUUGAUCCCUCUUGUGCAGGUUCAACUCCUGCUUUUCUAA